GAUGAACGCUGGCGGCGUGCCUAAUACAUGCAAGUCGAGCGAACGGACGGGAAGCUUGCUCCUCUGAUGUUAGCGGCGGACGGGAGAGUAACACGUGGAUAACCUACCUAUAAGACUGGGAUAAUUACGCGAAACCGGAGCGAAUAUCGGAUGAUAUUUCGAACCGCAUUGUUCAAGAGUGGAAUAAGGUCUUGGUGUCACUAAUGGCUGGCUACGCGCUGCAUUAUCUAGUUGGUAAGGUAACGGAUUAACAAGGCAACGAUGCAUAGCCGACCUGAGAGGGUGGUCGCCCACACUGGAACUGAGACACGGUACAGACUCCUGCACGAGGCAGCAGUACAGAAUCUUCCGGAAUGCGCGAGAGCCUAACAGAGCAACGCCGCGUGAGUCAUGAUCGACUUCGGAUCGUAGAACUCUGAUGGCCGGGAAGAACAAAUGUGUAUGUACCCGUGCAGAUCUUGACGGUACCGAAUGAGAAAGCUACGGCUAACUCCGUG
rnacentral:rRNA from 1 species